AGUGAACGCUGGCGGUAGGCCUAACACAUGCAAGUCGAACGGCAUCACCGUAAUAGCUUGCUGUUACGGGUGUCGCGUGUCGGACGGUUCAGUAAUACAUCGGAAUCUACUUUUUCACGUGUGAUAACGUAGGGUAACUUACUCUAAUACCACAUACGACCUACUUGUGAAAGCAGGCGAUCUUCGGACCUUUCGCGAUUGAAUGAGCCGAUGUCGGAUUAGCUAGUUGGCGGGGUAGAGGCCCACCAAGGCGACGAUCCGUAGCUGGUCUGAGAGGGUGAUGCGGCAGCCGGGAAGUGAGACACGGUACAGACACCGACGGGAGGAAGCAGUGGGAAAUAUUGGGGGAGGGGGGAAAGCCGGAUCCAGCGAUAUCGGGUAGGUGAAGAAGGACUUCGGGUUGGAAAGCCAUGUUGUUGGGAAAGAAAAGAAACAGGUUAAUACCCCGCGGUUAUGACGGUACCCAAAGAAUAAGCACCGGCUAACUUCGUG
rnacentral:rRNA from 1 species